AGAGUUUGAUCCUGGCUCAGGACGAACGCUGGCGGCGUGCUUAAAACAUGCAAGUCGAACGGACAUCUCAUGAAGCUUGCGAUUGAGAUGUGAGUGGCGGACGGGUGAGUAACGCGUGGGCAACCUGCCCUCGAGUCCGGGAUAACAGCUCGAAAGGACUGCUAACACCGGAUAUGCCCACGGGGGAGCAUUCCCCUGGGAGGAAAAGCGAUGCUCGAGGAUGGGCCCGCGUCCCAUUAGCUGGUUGGUGAGGUAACGGCCCACCAAGGCGACGAUGGGUAGCCGGCCUGAGAGGGUGAUCGGCCACACUGGGACUGAGACACGGCCCAGACUCCUACGGGAGGCAGCAGUUGGGAAUCUUCGGCAAUGGGCGCAAGCCUGACCGAGCAACGCCGCGUGAGUGAUGAAGGUCUUCGGAUUGUAAAGCUCUGUCUUCCGGGACGAUAAUGACGGUACCGGAGGAGGAAGCCACGGCUAACUACGUGCCAGCAGCCGCGGUAAUACGUAGGUGGCGAGCGUUGUCCGGAAUUACUGGGCGUAAAGGGCGCGCAGGCGGCCUGUUAAGUCAGAUGUGAAAUCCCCGGGCUUAACCCGGGAAUGGCAUUUGAAACUGACGGGCUUGAGGCAGGAGAGGAAAGCGGAACUCCCAGUGUAGCGGUGAAAUGCGUAGAUAUUGGGAGGAACACCAGUGGCGAAGGCGGCUUUCUGGACUGUACCUGACGCUGAGGCGCGAAAGCCAGGGGAGCGAACGGGAUUAGAUACCCCGGUAGUCCUGGCUGUAAACGAUGGGUACUAGGUGUUGGAGGUAUCGACCCCUCCAGUGCCGCAGCUAACGCAAUAAGUACCCCGCCUGGGGAGUACGGCCGCAAGGUUGAAACUCAAAGGAAUUGACGG
rnacentral:rRNA from 1 species